GAAAUGCGAUAAGUAGUGUGAAUUGCAGAAUUCAGUGAAUCAUCGAAUUUUUGAACGCACAUUGCGCCCCUUGGUAUUCCAUGGGGCAUGCCUGUUCGAGCGUCAUUUGUACUCUCAAGCUCUGCUUGGUGUUGGGUGCUUGUCCUUUCAUUACUGACCGGACUCACCUUAAAUGAAUUGGCAGCCAAUGAUUUAGUCUUGGAGCGCAGCACAAUUUGCGUUUUUGGUCUUAGCAUUUGCAUCCAGUAAGCAAUAUAUCACUUUUGACCUCGGAUCAGGUAGGGAUACCCGCUGAACUUAA
rnacentral:misc_RNA from 1 species